GAGAGAGAGAGAGCACUCAACACUAACUUGAGCUCUUUCCUGCGUCAAACUCCAAAUAUCCAAAUGAAGGAAGCCUUCCUCUUUUUAUAGUUGGCAAAGUGAAGCGGAUUUGAAAUUUAUUUGAAAUCUGUUCCGACAGCCUUUUCAAAGAUGUUUAUCUGCUACAGUGAAAAGCAGAUUCUAUCGGUGGUGGCCACAGUGAAAAGCAGAUUCUGUUGGUGGUGGCUACAGUGAAAAGCAGAUUUUGUCGUUUUUUGGGACACGUGUCCUGGAUAGGGGUGGAGUCGUUUUAGUACCUUUUGUGAAUUUUCUUUAUUUUGAAGGAAAUUCAAUACCUGCACAAUCAUCACCGUUCAUUGGACUGUAGUCUUCUUGUUCGUCACUCUGAGUAGAGGUGGACAGUUUUUCCACAUUAUCUUCUAUUGCACUCCAGAGCUUCCUUUUAAGCUCUUCUUUCGAUAGUUUGGGGUUUUGUUGCUGUAAUAUUGCAACAUAUUUUGAUAUUUCCAUUUUUUGCUUUUGAGGUGAAACUGAAGGCAUCCCGAAUAGGUUCUUUAAACUCUUUGAAGAACUAUUUUCUUAUUUGUCUAUUUUCUUCAGAGAAGAAGCCUUUUUGGUUCCAUUUUUUGUCAAUCUUGAAUUCUUCUUUCUGAAUAACACAUAUAUAAAAAUCAAUAUAUGAGGGUGUUGGCUCUUCUAGUUCAGACGAUCCUGGAGUGUCUACUCUAUAGACUGGUUGUUGAACUUGGUUUGGAGUUCUAUGAAGUCUUUCAAUAACAGUUCUUCUAUGAGUGGGUAUUCUUUCAUAUUCAGAUUGUGGAACUGAAAAUGUUGAACUCCUAGGAGGAUCCCUGAUACUUGAAUUAUCAAGUCUUAGUAUGGUCUUUCUGGAAGAUGGAUAACGGAUUUCUAUCUCUUCGUCAGAGUAUUCUAUGAUUUGUUCAGGGUCUUUAUUUUCAGGAUUUUUAAUCUGGGAUUCAGAUUGUAAAGACCAACGCUCUGGUAAUUUUACUUGAGACCAUGCUACUGCCUUAGGUAUAACCAAACUGUAUUUUUCCAGACAAAUACAGUUUUAUAAGUAACAAAUCUUAUCCCUAGAAGAAGAUUUUAUGAGGUAAAAUCUAAUUUGUUUGAGUGCUUGCAUAAACUAUACAAAAUGCAGCAUUAUUGUAAUUGCAUUACUUAAAAGAUAGUGAGUUUAAUUGCAUAGUUUUUGGAUUAAAAAAUUAUUGAAUUUGAGUAAGGUUAGUGAAACUUUACAAGUAGUCCUAGUGAUUGUAAUUGCACGAUAUUUACAGAUAACAGUAGCUCCAUUAUGGAUUUUUUUAAAACCACUGAAGUACCAUGAUAUAACAGAGUUCAAUUGGAAAACAAGGAGACCUCCUUUAAUUUCAUAAUUAUGAAGUGGUUUUUUUUUUUGGGUAGAUAAAAUUAUGGAGUGCUUGGUAACAGUGUUCCCUUGAGAUACCUAUUGAAAGAAAAAUUGCAAAUUUUCCAAUUUAAAUCUCAACAAAAUCAAAUUUAAAAGCUGUAGAUUUGUGUUUCAGAAUCCGAGACCUCUCAGACAGUCAGACUUGGAAAAAGCACAAUCCAUAUCAAAAACAUCAAAGUAGCAAGAAAUGAAUACGAGUUCAAUCCACAAUCGACUGCAUGGUCGAGGUCGAGACAACCGGAUGACUACCAGGUGGCUAUCUCAGAGCUUUCUAAGCUUUUGUCUCGUAUUGCCGUCAACUUUCAAUCUGAAGACCAGGAAUUUUAAGAUGUGUUUUCUACAAAUAUAGAAGGCAUUCUACAGUAGGGAAAUUCACAACGGGAGGAGAGGAAAUGAUCUUUUCCCUAUGUCGUUGCCAUUGCUUUUAAUGCGUAAAUGAUUCAAUGUUUGCAUCAUGUCUUUCCCCCCUUUUAGGUCUCAGUAAAUUAACUUGUUCUGCACCACUUCUUAUUCAAUUUAUUAAAGUAUGCAAUUAAUCAUUAAGAGGAAUAAGUUGUAAUAAUACUUGUUUAGGACUGCAUUUCAUCGAAAAACAUUAAGAAAGAAAAAAAGGAAAAACUCAAGGUUCUCAUGUACAUAUCAUCUGUUUGAGUCAGCUUUGCUGCAGAAUUGUCUAUGGGAAGUAGUUUUGUAGACUCUCCUAGGGUUUUGUUGCUUGCACACAUACCCGUAUGCAUGUAUGGUUUUGGGAGAUUUUAUGAGAAAUUGGCAGCAUUACUAUGA